rnacentral:lncRNA from 1 species
UCUCUGUGUGUGUAAGGUCCCAAAAUAAGUAUUAUUUUGAAGCACUGAAAUGCUAAUAUGCAAGGCAAGAAGAUUAAGAUGAACUAUAUUUUCUUCCCUCAGAUUAUUAUACAAAUCUUUUUUUUUUUUAUGCCCAAAGUGGGGCCCAAAUGUGCAAAUUUCUAUAAUGGCUAUCUACUGCUUUUGGAAUUAAAGUGUUGAAUUCUAACUCAGCCUUGGCGAUCAAACUCGAAGUUACUAGGAGGGGCUGGAGCACUGUCUGACUUCUCAGAUCCCAAUCCUGCCAUCCUGCAUCUUCCAUUCUUCAAUGGAGCUGACCAAAGAGUAUGUCACUCUGGAAGACACUCUGCUCUAGUUCUCUUGGAACGACUCUCCUACCCAAACAGAAACAUGAAAAUGGCUGGCAUGGCGGCUACCACACAGCCAUCUGCACCUGGAUACAUCGGCUCCAUCUCCUGAGUUUACUCCUAUUUGAGGAAAUUGAUGUUACAAAGCAUCAACUUCAACUACGGCCCUUAAGAUUAAAGCCCUGGCUCCAUGAUCCAAGUUGGUCAGAAAAAAAUGGUUUUCUUAUUUAAAAGUUGAGGAGCUUCUAAAAUUGUUCC